rnacentral:lncRNA from 1 species
AGUUUGCUUUCCUUACCUGUGGAUAAAGAAUGGGGCUGGACUUUGGCAUCACUCCCCUCCCAGGGUCACAUUGUGCAACACAUGUCUUCCAGUGGCACAGGGUCUGAUGUCCUUGCAUGUGCUCAGUGGGUCCCCCAAAAUACCAGCCCUCCUUCCCCUGUUUGCCCAGAACCUCAUGUCCUUACAGGACACGUCUCUUUCCUCUUCCUGCUAAGAGUUUGUGAUGGGAUUUGGCUAUUUACCAAACUCUAGCACAUGCAGAUAGGAAGGAACUAUAGGGAUGGAUCCCUGGGUCCAGCUUUCCUGUUUACAGGGACAAUCUAGGUCCAGGGAGGCAAGACUCCUUUAGUGAGAACAGAAGAACUCCAGGAGCCAGUGUCCCACCUCUGAGGUCAGCUAUGGGCUUCAAGCCUCGCCUUGUAGACUGAUCGCACUUACCUGAGCUGCUGAGUGACAUCCGUCUUCUGAAACUGUUCUACAGCCUCCUUGGCAUUGUUGCUUAGCUGGGUAAAGUAAUCCCACACCACAUUGGCCACCUGGUCCGAAGUGACCUCAGCCCGGGUGCCUGGGCAGAGAGAGAGCAGAAGGCAACUUUAUGAGGAUCAUCUCUCUCCUGGCCCCUCUGCCUCAGCUCUGAGCUGGAUAAUGUUGGAGUUUGGAUAACCCAAACCAUUGCCCCAUCCCUGGGAUAACCCAGGGAGCACAAGUGCCAGGGAGAACAAAGGCCUGUUCUCCUAUGAGCUGCUGGGCAAAUACAAGGCCACCCCGAGCUGUCCGCCAGUUCUAGAGCUGGCUUUUCUUGCUGCCUCCCAGGUGCAGUGUCUACUCACCGGUGAUGGCCACCAGGGCCAGGGUCAGCACCGCAGCCUUCAGGAACAUCCUGGGCUCCUCACUGGGCUGGGACAGUUUCGGCUACACUGGAUGUUUCCCGGAGUCAGAAGAAACGGUGUACCUGUGUCCCUGUGCAGAUUGACUGCAGGCAAGGCCAGCCACUCAUUUAAAGCCCCUCCAGCCCUCUCUCCCCGCCUCCUCCCCAGUGUGACUCCACGUUGGAAGGUGACACACUCCCAGGAGGCCUCUUGGACUUUAGUGGCCCUAAGACAACGUGGAAGCUGACAGCACACAGGCAGCAGAGGGAAGCAGUCUUCUUGAGUUGGCUCCACCCUGUCCAAGAGGCUGGGAAGGAUAGCCAGAAACUUCAGGAGGAAUGAGCCUGGGAGUCUAGGGGAGUCCCUGAACAGAACUGAGGCCCCAGAGGCCCGGUUGGCAGCCCUGGGUCUGUGCCAGUCUGAGAGAACAAGGUCCAGGUCUCCUCUUUCCACCCCAGUGAGACAGCCACCAGUCUGACAGCUGCCACCAACCUGAACUUUGUCUCAGAACAUCAGCUACAGAGAUGGUACCAGGCCCAGAGAUGGCAUAGGGCUGCAGCAGACAGUGAGCCUCAGUUGAGGUGUCUGUGAUACCCUUGGUCAGGAGAGGAUCAGAACCCAGGAUCAAAGGAGUUAAUCAUAGUGGGCUUUGUAUCUCAUGACUGUCAAGCUGGCUCACCUCCGUCCAGUUAUCAUGAAGCUUCAAGUUUCUCUUUUGAACAAUGUGUAGUUUGUUACAUUAAAUUAGGUGGUACUUGUGAGAUGGCUGCAGGGAGCUUAGCCCAGAGUAAGGGCUGAAAUUAAUGACAAUGAUUUUCUGUGUGCAUCAGCACAGGAAGGAAGGAGAGAACCUGAUCCUCUCCUGACAGUGGCAGAGGGAGAGCCACCCUUUCCCUCAGAGGGUCACCAAGUGGGCUAGAGGCAACAGUGAGAGAGCAGGGCUGGCUAAGGCUUGAUUGCUGCCCCACUGUUCUCAGCCAUAUGCAAGAGCCAUGCAGAGUGACUCCUCUCUCUCUCUCCCUCUCUCUCUCCCUCUCUCCCUCUCUCUCUCUUCCCACCCCCACAGAAGGUGACAGACACUGCUGUGGAAAGUGAGUUUUUUGAGGUCUCCUACUGAGACUCCACAUGUGUCCACACAUACAAUUGCAGCAGAUAUCCACAGGCAAGAUGCCAGGCUGUGGUCAGUGUGGAGCCUCAGUGGACCACACCAGGGACUAGAUGAGGGCAUCCAUCAUACUGUCCCAUUGACUGCCAUCCACAAGACAGCAUUUGUGAAAUGACAGCCAUUAGAAUAGACCACGAUUGUGCCCAGUC